rnacentral:rRNA from 1 species
GGUUCCUACGGGGCGCAGCAGUAGGGAAUCUUCCACAAUGGGCGGAAGCCUGAUGGAGCAACGCCGCGUGGGUGAAGAAGGUCUUCGGAUCGUAAAACCCUGUUGUUAGAGAAGAAAGUGCGUGAGAGUAACUGUUCACGUUUCGACGGUAUCUAACCAGAAAGCCACGGCUAACUACGUGCCAGCAGCCGCAGUAAUACGUAGGUGGCAAGCGUUAUCCGGAUUUAUUGGGCGUAAAGGGAACGCAGGCGGUCUUUUAAGUCUGAUGUGAAAGCCUUUGGCUUAACCGGAGUAGGUCAUUGGAA